GAUGAACGCUGGCGGCGUGCUUAACACAUGCAAGUCGAACGAACCUUCGGGUUAGUGGCGGACGGGUGAGUAACGCGUGAGAAUCUGCCCUCAGGAGGGGGAUAACGGUUGGAAACGACCGCUAAUACCCCAUAUGCCGCGAGGUGAAAUGAAUUUCGCCUGAGGAUGAGCUCGCGUCUGAUUAGCUAGUUGGUGGGGUAAAGGCCUACCAAGGCAUCGAUCAGUAGCUGGUCUGAGAGGAUGAUCAGCCACACUGGGACUGAGACACGGCCCAGACUCCUACGGGAGGCAGCAGUGGGGAAUUUUCCGCAAUGGGCGAAAGCCUGACGGAGCAACGCCGCGUGAGGGAUGAAGGCCUCUGGGCUGUAAACCUCUUUUAUCAAGGAAGAAGAUCUGACGGUACUUGAUGAAUAAGCCACGGCUAAUUCCGUGCCAGCCACGCCCG
rnacentral:rRNA from 1 species